AGAUGGCAAAUGAAGUCAACAUUGAUGAGAUUUCACGACAAGAAGAGUCUGAAACAACCGUUGUACUCUAAAAAAGAAUAGUAUUUUAAAUAUUUUUAUAUUUAACACUUCCCCUCAUGUCUGGAUGACUCGAACUCAGAACCUCCUGCUCUGAUAUCAUGUGAAACAACCGGUGUAUUCUAAAAACUUAAAUUGUUAAAGAACAGUGUUUAAACAUUUUUAUAUUUAACCACUACAACAUUUUGUAUUAAAGGUGGCUUUUAUGGGUACCUAUAGCGGCUUUUUGAAAAGCCGCAAUAAAAAGUACCGGCUUUUCUGAAAAAGCCACAAAAAAAGCCGGUGAAAACUGAGUCGGUAUAGGUCUAUGUCAAUAUAACGGCAUCUUGCAAAAGCCGCAUUUUAGUGCCUAUAGCGGCUUUUUGAAAGCCACUAUCAGCAUUUAAAUUGUGGCACUACUAUAGCCGCCUUUGAUUAUCUAUAGCGGCUUUUUGCCACAAUACUGUAAUUUCUACCGUUUUUAAAAGUUAUGGCAAUUAAAAAGCCGCCUUUAAUUAGUAUAGCGGUAUUUGGUGUGCCACAAUGUUAUAGUUUUUGCGGCUUUUUGAUGCUGUUAAUAAAAUUAUAUUGUGGCUUUUUGAAAGCUGUUAAUUUGCAUAUACAAUGACUUUUUAUAAAGCUACAAUUGAUUGAAAUAUAGAGACUUUUUAAUAUGUAUAUUAACUAGGAAUAGUAGUUGUAUGAAAGAUACAAUACAAAAAUGACACAUUCAUAGCAAAAAAAGUUGUUUCAUUCAUAUAUAAGCCAAGAGUAUUGAAUGAAACCAAAAUACUAAUUGUUCCUCACAUUCUCAACAUCAAUAAAAUGAUAAAAAACUCUAAUAUUCAAAAAUAGUUUUUUAGAAAUGACACAGUAGCUCAAAACAUAAAAUGAUGCUAAAGGACAUAGUAGGUCCAAAAACAAAAGAAAUAAUCAACUAUCACUGGAAGGAUUUGAUGAUGCUGACGUAUAGCAAGUUCCCGAAGACUCAAGAUUCUGUAACAAAAACGAAAAUUUCUUUAAUAAAAUAAGAAUAUAGUUAACAAUUAAAACAUAAUGAUAAAAUCGAUAAAAUUAUCUAGAUACAAAUUCCACGAAGAAUUGUAUAUAAUAUAUAGAUCACUUUCUCAUUAUUAGGAGAGAUUUCCUUUUCAUUCUUUAUGAAGAAAAGAACAUAACAAACCAGCAAAGCUUAUUUAUUAGGUGCCAAGUGCCAUGCAUCCAAAUAUUAAGAUGAUAUGACAAAUUAAAUUUUGUGAUAGCUUUCCAAUCUCUCGCUGUGCAUCUGUCACCCUAGGAGUAGUAGAUUAGAGCUACAAAUCACCUUUCCUAUAUGAUUUAUCAGAGCUACAAAUCUCUCAUUUAACAAGAAACUUUUCUCUUUGCUUGUUUUUCUCUACAGAAUUAGCCUAAGGAGUCAAUGCUAUUCCGAUGCAUUCAGUUGAGAGAUUACAUAGAAGGUUACUCCCAUAUUGGACACAAAUUAAAAUUCUGAUGUAUAUAUAUUAUGAGAAAUUUCUUUAUCUAUCAAUUUAAGCUCUCCAACUUGGCAUGUGUUUUUUAACAUAGUAUCAAACUCAAGAGAAAUUAAAAAAAUCUUCACUCCACACACAAACAAAAGCUACAUUAUUUAAUAUACGACAUUAUUUAAGUUUAGAUAAAAAAUUUCAAAAUGCAAUAUAGUUCAUUAUAUUUAGACCAUGAAUGAAUAGCAUGGAAACAAUUUAAAAGAAGAAACCUGAAGUUUUUUGGAAGAGGCAAAUAAUUGACCUAAGUUGGACACUGGGUCGAACCACGAUGCCGGAUCUCUACCAAGCUAUGGCCCAUGUAAUCCUAAGGGAAAAAGAUUUUUCGGGCAACUGCAGCAUUGGGGUUAUUCGAGUACCUCGCUUAUUCUACGUAAAAAGAAUAACAAACUUUUAGAGCCGUUAGUCUAAUAAGCAUUAUUAAGAAAGUAUAGAGGAAAAUAAAGCUUAAAAGAAUUAAACGAGACGUCAUAUUAAGUAAUAUAAAAAAAAUGAGAGAGAUAUACAUAACCAUAUGAUAUUUCUACAUUCCGUUGAAAGACAUUAGUCUGAAUUGAUGCUAACCUUGCAAGAAAAGCUAAUUCUUGUUUCUCCCGGAUAUCGGCCUUGAGCUUGAAGCAACCCACCAAAAAGAGGAAGAAAUGCACUACUAGUCAACACCUCACCAGCCACAUAUGUGAGCUGCCCAUUUGGAAACUGCAAAUCCAGAAACGACUGGGACAAAGCACCAAAUCAGCAACUUUGUGUGUCAAAUACAACCGAUUUUUAUUUGUCAAGAAGACAUCCUUUCCCAUUUUUUGAAGAUAAAACAUUAGACAUUUUGGCUGAAAUGGUUUUAGCAGGAUUUCAUAGUAGAUAAUCCUUCUAUGAAAACAUGCAUAUACUUUUAUGAAAAAAAAAUCAUUACAUAUACUUCACACACACACACACACACACACACACACACCCCACACACACACCUAUAUAUAUAUAUAUAUAUAUAUAUAUAUAUAUAUAUAUAUAUAUAUAUAUAUAUAUAUAUAUACUCUUUUCAUUUUUAUUAUUUAAUCAUAUUAAGCUCAAAUCAAAAUUUCUUAUGUGUUGUAUUGUUGGGGAACAAAUUAAAUUUAAAUAUUUGUUCGCAGGCUGUGUGCACAGAAGCAGGCGUCUUGCUUUAUAACCGUGCAAGUUAUGUAGUUCGAGGAUAAAAGAUGAAUACAUACAUUUGCAGUGGCUUGGUUAACAGCAAUUGGCUACAACUGUAUGAACCAAGCAUUUUUGGUCUUUCCUCUUUUUUUUCUUUUCCAUUUUUGGUAUAUUGAGAAUGCUAACAGCCGACAAUGAUAAUGGCAGCAUAGGAGCCCAUCCAAAGGCACACAAAUCAUGUUAAUUUUUAUUUUUUUUAAAAAAAAAUAAUAGUACUUAAAGGAGGCCUCAGAUUUUGCAUCAAAGAAACAACUGCUAUUAUAAAGACAAUCUUGUUUCAAACUCAAAUCUGAGAAGGCAUAAGACAAAACCAACGCUCGAAGCAUUCUCUCAUCGGCCCUAAUGCAAGAAUACCAUACUUCCCUAAUUGGAAUGGGUAUCUGAAACUAUAUUCUUAGAAAAUUAGACAAAGUACUAAUUAUAAUGCUUUACAUAUGUUCAUAUAUUGAUUCCGACAUCAUCACAAACUACAUCAAAAAAAGCACCAAAAAUAGCAUAAUUCAAGCAGAAAUUUGAGAAUGCACCACAAUUACAUAAUAAUUUGUGAUCCACCAAACAAAGCAACAACAUAAUAAUUCGUGAUCCAGCAAGUCUUUCGCCAUGACAACACAAAGGAACAGAGUCACAUAAUGAUUCAAUUUAGAAGUCUAAGUUACAAACUCAAAAAAACAUCAAUAUAUCAUUUAGCAACCAAAUCAAACCAAAUUCCUCAAAUUAAAAACUCUAACAAACAAAGAAGAUCCUAAACUACAUAAUGAAGAACCAAUUCAAAGCGAUUACGAGAAGGAACCCCGAACUACACCAAAAAAGCACCAAAACACCAAAAUUGAGAAAAAAUUUAUGGACGCCUUCAAUUACACCUAACAGGAGCAUUGGCUUAAUCAAAGGACCAAAAAAAUUUAAAAAAAAUCUUCAUAAAAUCCACACGAUCCAACAACAUUACAAUCCACCAACUUUCAACACAAAAACAAAGAAGAAUAUAAUCACACAACAAUUCAUGGCACUAAGCACUCGAAUCACAACCAAAUUCUUUACCAAAAAACCUAUGGGACAAUUACGGCUCAACUUACCAAAAAAGAAGUAGCAAAGAGGGAUCACGAAGGUCGACGAAUGAUCCCUCCCAAUGCGGCGAUCGCGUGCGAGGUCGAGAGGACGCGGGUGAGUCAGGAGGAGACGGAGUGGGAGAGUGGGCAAUGGGGUUGGAGGAAACGGAGUGGGAAAGAGGGCGAUGGGGUAGGUAGCCAUUUGGGUCUGUGCGAAGGGGAGGAAGAGAGGGAGAGAGAGAAAGAGAAAGAGAAAGAGAUGGGUAAUUAAUUAUGGGCUAGGCCCAGGAAGAGAAAAGGGAAAUAUAUAGUUUGGACUAAUAUUUUGGGCCGGCCCAUAUCAAAAAGCCGCUAAAUAAAUGUCGCCUUUUAACUAAUUUCCUGUAGUGAACACUCCCCCUCACGUCUGAGCUCGAGACUUUUUAAUCGGCCCAUGACGUGGACUUGAAUUAAAUGGGAGGAAAUUAAUAUGUUAGGAGCCUGGCGUGACUCGAACUCUGGACCUCCUGCUCUGAUACUAUGUGAAACAACCGUUGUACUCUAAAAGCUUAAGCUGUUAGAAAAUGGUGUUUAAAUAUUUUUAUAUUUAACAGAGGACUUACUAAUAGUCAGUGAGUUAUGACAUAAUUAACUUAUGUGUAAAUAUUAUAUUACUAAUUUAAUUUUAUUAAUUAAAUUAGUAUUGAGCUCAAGCCGAAUUAAAUUAAAAUUUAAUAGAUCGAAUUGAUUAGUGAUAAGAAAAUUUUAAUUCUAGUAUUAUUCUUAUUCUUAAUUAGCUACUAUUAGUUGUAAAUUGGAUUAUUUCUCGGACGUACCCUUUUUUUAAAAAAAUUCUAGCUGCCACUCCUCUCCAUUGUUCUCUCCUCAAGUAGAGUUAAUUAUAAUAAGAUCCAUUAGUAGAAUUAGCACCUAAGUGAGUAUUUCCAUCAAAUCAGUAAUCUUAGCAAUAUAUAUGUUUUACAUCAUAAUUUCACAUAGUUUAUAUAAUUCUAAUCUUUUUUGGGGACUUCCAUGCAAAAUGCAUUGAAAUUAUUAGUUUAGAGCCAUAGGGAUUUAUACCCAAAUACUCAUAUUUAGGGCCUGUUUGUUUCUCCGAAGACAAAGUUCAUAUUAGAAGCUUAAGGCAUGUUUUUGUUCUUUUCUCUCACUAUUUAUUUUCGUAAUUGACUUCGAUCUAGGAUGGGCCGAGAAAUUUUAAUUUCGAUGGAAGGUAGAAUUAUCAUGAGCCAAACAGCAAAAGUGAAUAUUAUAUCAUCGAAAAUUGCUUAAUUCAUCUGCACUUUUCGUGAAACAAAUACUUCAUCAGUGAUGUGGUUGCAUCUUCACUUUUCUUUGGUCGUCAAAGAGUGAAUUUGUAUUGCACCUUCUUUUUUUUGUUUUUUUUGGUUGAAAAUUUGAAAGCAAACAAACCAAUCAAAGUUACAAGGCCAGCUUAAACACAGCAUCAUGUGCUGGAUUGUUUGAUUUUUUUGGGUCAUUGUACAAUUUGAUAGGGAUAGAUCGAAAAUAGUCUUAACGCGUAAUAAAUAAGGAGAUUCCCCUUGUCUAAAGGAUGUGACCAUUUUUGCUCCUUAAUAAAAUACACUAAUUUCACACUUGAGAAUUUAGGACUCGUUUGGUGUCUUGGUUUUUUUUACCUUUUCUUUUAAUUUUUUUAAACAGUAAUUCUUUAUAAUUUUGAUGUGUCAGGAUAAAAAUUUAUAGGCUGCCUUUGGUUCCAAUAUAAAUAAGAAUCGUUUGUUCCAGAGAUAGGUCCAAGUUCAGGUAUAAAGAGGAUCUAGACUAAUUUUGCAUUUUGAUGAAAAUUACGUUGUUUUUAGAAAUAAGGUAAAUAGUGUUUUGAUGAUUAGAUUAGAACAAGAGGAAUAAGAGUUAUAAUUUGAAAUUAAAAUUAUAUUAUGUAAUUAAUUAACAUUAAAAUAUUACUUAAAAAUAAAUAAUAAAUUAAUUAUUAAUAAUUAUUAAUAAUUAUUAAUAAUAAAUUAUAAAUAAUUAAUUAUCUAAUUAUUAAUAAUAAUAAUUAUUAAUAAAUAAUAAUAAGUACUAAUUAUUAUUAUUAAUUAAUUAUAAAUAAUAAAUUAAUAAUAAUAUCGAUUAUUUAAUUAUUAAUAAUAAUAAUUAUUAAUAUUUAUUUAUAAAUAUUAAUAAUAAUNAUUAUUAAUUAUUAUUAUUAAUUAAUUAUAAAUAAUAAAUUAAUAAUAAUAUCGAUUAUUUAAUUAUUAAUAAUAAUAAUUAUUAAUAUUUAUUUAUAAAUAUUAAUAAUAAUUAAUUAUAAAUAAUAAAUUAAUAAUAAUAUUGAUUAUCUAAUUAUUAAGAAUAAUAAUUAUUAAUAAUUAAUUAUAAGUAAUAAAUUGACACGUCCCGAAUUCUCGUUUUUCCGGGCACGUUAACAGACCCGCCGCAUACAUAGAAAUUUUUUCUGUAUACGAAGCAAAGCUGUAACUGUAACUGUAAACAUAUACACUACAACUUGUAGUAUAGAGCUGCUAGAAUGAACAGGUAAAACGAAAAGCAAGUUCCAUAUACAUACAUAGCUUCAAGGUACAAAAGUACUCGCCUAGCGAGUUAUACAUAUGUAUGUACAUGAACUCAAAAAUAAAAGUAUAACUACCUACAGAAGGUGAUCCUCUAUCUCGGCGACUCGUAUGGUAGGGCUCUACUCACAACGCCCUUGUCACGGUCUAUCUCAGAAGAAGCAACAGUCAGAACCGAAAGCUCUACAAAAAAAGGAUAACAACUGGGCGUGAGAACUAGUGUAAAAAUUAGUAGUUCUCAAUGGGUACCGUCCUCAAAAUCAUCGGUUCACUCACCAAGUCUACAGAAAGGAGCUGGGAUAGUAAGAAAGUUGGAAAAAUCUACAGCUAAAUGCUACUAUUCUAUCAUGCUCUAACACCAACCAUCUGUAGAAAAAAAUGUCAAUCCUGACCCAAUCUCAUUAGGGACUGUAAGUAUACCCGUCUCAGGGACUGUGAACACACCCGUCCCGCCUGUCAAAGCUGAAUCUACCUUCACACUAACCAGUCCGUGAAUAGUAAGUACAAACAGGACACCUCGACAUCAAAACAGAAGCACUAAGUCUAACUCCGGAGUGACACUCGUAGGCGCGACCCAACCAAGUAUGCAAGCGUAUCUCUGUCAAGCUCAACCAAUCUCUCACGAGCUAAAGUCAAGUAAACAGGAUCGAACCAGUUUAACAACCAAAACGCACGUGCCCUCGGCACAAUCUAAUGCUAUAUCACUAAUCCGGUUCCACGGUCAAUCCCAACGGCACCCAACAGUCCGGAACAGUCUGAACACUACUAUAAAAAUAGGCUCAGUAUCCCGGCACGAGCAUAACUGCACUCCAAACUAUCUAAGAUAUCCGUCGCUCUGAAACUGCGAUGAUAUAAAAUAAUAACGGCUCCUAGAGCUAAAUUUGAUAGUUUAAGUAUAUGACAGGUCAUAUUCGCGAGUUUUCUCCUAAGUUAUAUCCAAGUCCAAAAUAUGUAAAUAUCUAUUCACCGUACAAGUUCCAAUUCAGGUUUUAAGAAGUAAAUAUGCCAAAUUCAAGAAUCGAGUAAGUUCUAUACACGAAGCAAUAUCACAACACAUGUCGACUCUAUAGGCGCUUAAAAGAUAAACCGAUGAAUAACCCACCUCAAACGCUACUCCCAAUCCGGGGCGACGUCGAGAACGGCGAAAUCACAACCUCGCCUGGCCUUCCUGCGACGCUAUGACGACGAACGCACGCUCGAACGGCACCGCGGCGCGACGUCGACGACGAUCCGAGCUCCAACUGGGUUCUCCUCCUCCUCCUCCUUGCGUACGGCCAGAUAUAAGAGAGAGAGAGAGAGAGCACAGCAUGCAAACCCCACUCCCCCCCUCCCACUCCCCCUCCCCCUCAGCUCCUCUACACAUAUAUAAAGAGAAAGGGUAAGGGUGAAGACAACGAGAUAGCCAAAAGACCAUACAACUUCUCACCUACCCAGGUGUACCUGUAUACAUACAUGUUGUACCGGUACAAAUGGCAACUCGAGAGCAGCUGCGCAGAAUCAACCGAAGUGUACCGGUACACUGCUGAUGUUGUACCGAUACACGUACAGGUAUCGGUACACCUCUAAUGUUGUACCGGUACACAAGCAGAAAAAUCUGCAAUUUGCUGAUUCUAAUACUAUUUCCUACUCUCGCGUCCCCACUAAGUCCGUUUUGCGUCUAUUUCGCGCCAACGCGACUCUAACUUGUCCCGACACUCUCCCGACGUGUUGANACGCGACUCGGACUUGUCCCGACACUCUCCCGACGUGUCGACAAGUCUCAGAUGUUGUAUUCCAGAGAUACUACAUAAAUUAAUAAUUAUUAUUAUCUAAUUAUUAGUAAUUAAUUAUAAAUAAUAUAUUAAUAAUAAUAUCGAUUGUCUAAUUAAUAAUUAUUAUUAAUUAAUUAUAAAUAAUAAAUAAAUAAUAAUAUCGAUUAUCUAAUUAUUAAAAUAAUAAUUAUUAAUAAAUAAUAAUUAUUGUUAGUAUUAGUAAUUAAUUAUAAAUAAUAAAUUAUUUAAUUAUUUAAUUAUUAAAGUAAUAAAUAAUAAUUUAAAUAUAGUAAUUAGAUUACUUAAUAAUUUACUUCCAUUAAAAUUAAAUUUAAACUUUAAUUAACCUUGUUCUCGUCAACAAGCUUAUUCCAGAAAAAUGGUGGAAAAGUAAUUCCAGCCUUAUAACAGCUUAUUCUAAAAAUCCGGAAACCACUGCUCCCCGAAAACCAAAUUAUUAUCCCCCUGUUCCUGAACCAAACGCUAUCGAUGAGAUCCGGUAUAUAUUUUUAUAGAUUAAAUUUUUUAUCAAAAUAAUUUGAAUUAAUUGAUCUGUUAAUAUAAACGAUCGAUAAGAUCGGUCCAUCUUUAUGAUUUGAUCCACCUGCUAUUUUUCGACUCGUUAUUAUUAUGCUUGUUAUUUAUGAGAUGCAUAUAAGUGAUGAUCAAGAAUAGCAAUAUAUUUAUUUUGUUUGGACACGUGAUGAAUGAUAUAUAUACAGUUUUGGAUGGCUGCUUGCACAAGUCGAUUUUUUUGAAACAUAUGCAUGUCUCGAUAAAUUAGAGAUAAAUGUUAUUAAAUGUAAUUCUUUCGAGGCCAACCAAUCAGCCACCGUUUGGUUCGGGGUUAAGAAAAAGUAGCUAUUUCAGGGAUAGGGUUAAGUUCAGGGUUAAAAUUGUGUUAAAAUUUUUUUGUGUUUGGUUGGAGGUUGGAGUUAGUCUAGGAUAGUGAAAAAAAGUGUUUGGUUGGAGUAGGUGGGAUAAGAAGAUAAUGAUUGAUAAAGAAGAAAAAGGUGAGAGCUCGGGAUGCGUGCGGGGUUAAAGUUGGGAGGGGGAGUGGGGUUAAUGAUUGAUAAAGAAGAAAAAUGUGAGGGCUCGGGAUGCGUGCAGGGUUAAAGUUGGGAGGGGGAGUGGGAUUAGUAAACCUCACUAACCCAGUUUGGGGUGGGGUUAGUAAACCCCACCCCAAAAGAGUGGUGUUUGGGUAUAAAUUGGGAGUUAAGGGGUUAUUCCACCUCUUAAUCCCCAACCAAACGGUGGCUCAGAGACAAAAAUUUACAGUUCUAGGUGCAUGAGAAAUUUCAAAGCGGGCGGCCUAUAUUUAUUUUGAAUAAAAUUUUAGAGGGUCCACAGCAGUUCCAAGCCUUCGCAGCUCAUCUCCACUAGCUGCCUGCUAAUUCCAACCAUAUAUCACAGCCUGUUUUGCCUAAAUUUUAAAAAAAAAUAUAUAAAUUUUAUAAAAUUUGUUGGAAACGUGAUUUGCUCUGAUACCACUUCUUGAAGCAUGAUUUUCUCUGAUAUCAAUUGUUGGAAGUGGUAUUUAUGCUGAUACCAAUUAUAUAACUCAAGAUCUAAAAUAGAACAAAAUAAUAUAGAGAAGAAAUAUUGGAGGAGGAAACAGAUAACUAAACUAAUACUUUAUUAAUAAAAGACAAUUAAUUACAUUAUGGGCAACACCUAACCUAUGCUGUAAUGUCUACUAUAUCUUCUUCUCUAAUUAAUUCAUACCUAACUAGAUAUAGCCAUCAAAUCAUAACAGAUGAUAAAUCCAACUUUACUUUGGAUAAUUACAAAUCUUAACCAUAAUCAAAUAAAGACUUAAACUUGUCUCUAACUAAUUUAUAAAUUAAGUUUGGAUUAUUAUUCCAACGAAAUUAAUUUUAAUUUGAAGAGUUGAUUUUGAUUAAAAAUUGAGAGUGUUUUGCUGAGCCUUGGUGUAAAGUGAUUCUCCCGAAUUAAUUUUUAAAGUUGUUUAGCAAAAUAAUUUUACUAUUUUCAAAUAAUAAUUUUUUGGUAUAUUUUAUUUUAAAAUAAUUUAAUUUUAGAAUUUACAAUUUAAGAAUUGAAAUUUAAAAUUUAAAAUUUGAGAUUUAAAUUUAAAAUUUAAAUCUAAAAUUGAAAUUAAAAUUAAAAUUAAAAUUAAAAUUUGAGUCUAAAAUCAAUAAUCAGAUUUUAAGAAAACGAGCUUUACUUGCUUUUGAUUUUGGGACUCGAAAAUUAAAAAUCAUUCUAAAAAUCAAAAUCAAACUUUUUUUUAAAAAAGUUACUAAUAAAUCUUCUAUUUAAAAAAAAAAACUUUUUGAUGCUAAAAUCACUUCUCAAAAUCUAAGCCAAACACCCACCGUACAAAUGCUUUUGAGUUUCACUGCAUUGAGAGCAGUCAAUGUGGCUUUUAAUCUCAAGCUUCUCAAGAUAGGGGGUGUAAUGUUGGCCAUUCCGGGCCGGCCCGGUCCACAUUUUUUCUUCCGAAAUGGGCUAGUGGCUGGCCCGGCCCGGCCUGAUUCAAUUUCAUGCCAUGCCGGGCCGGGCCCGAGCUGCGUAGCUUCAGGCCCGGCACGGCCGUUCUGGCCGGGAAGACACGAGCCGAGCCGGGCCAGGCCGUGCUUCGGGACCGCCUCCUAAAAUAUUUAUUUUUAAUUUUUUUAAAAAAUUUAGUUUAAAUUUGAUUAAAUCAUUUAAAAAUUUAUAAAAAUAAUUAUAAUAUAGUAAAUAUUUAAUUUUUUUAAAAAAAUAAAUAAAUUUGUAUUAUUUUUUUGAAAAAAAAUAAAUUUCAAAGGCGCGAAGUUUUUCGGAGGAGAUGGGGGUUUCCACGGAGGAGGGGUCUCGGAGGAGGGGCCCAAGGAGAAAGUAGGGGACACCAGGGGAGGAGAUCGGGGUGGGGUCCUGGGUCGGGGCCUUGGGUGUAGGUGCGGGGGCCACGGGGGGCAGCGCGAAGGCCACAGAGGGCGAUACGAGGGCUACGUGGGGCGGCGUGGGGAACUAGGUGACUAGCGCCGGGACUGCGGGCGACGUCGCUGUGGGAGGCGCCAUAGGUGCCUCUCCUCCCAAGGUCUAACCUUGUGAGGAGAGCUCCUGAGGAGGAGAUUUGCUCCUCCCAAGGAGCUCCAGGCUGGCCUGACUAGCACAGCCCAAACGGAUCGUGCCGUGCCAGGCCGGGCAAUCGAGCCACAGAGAACCGGCCCAGCACGGCCCGAAAAUUCGGGCCGGGCCGGCCCGACACGAGUGCUACAGUACCCAUGCCGUGCUGUAGCACGGCCUGAGGCCAUGCUGGGCUAGGCGGCCCACGUGCCGCCCGACCCGUUUUACACCCCUACUUCAAGGGAAGUACGAGCGUUCACAGAAACACCUAAGACAAUUAAUAAGUAUCCAUAGCCAGCGCAAGCGACGUAAUCUAUCCUAGGGGGUGUUUGGCCUAAUUUUUAAAAAGCGUUUUUGGGUUAAAAAGUGAUUUUCGGCCCAAUAGAACGUUUGGCAACCUCAGUUUUAAAAUCUGCUUCAGCUUUUUAGAAUUAGAAAACUGAUUUUGAAGGCCCCAGAUUCAUAAACAGAAAAAAGCUACUUCUUGAAAUCUAAUUCUGAUUUUAAACUCAAACUUCAAAUUUUUAUUUUAAUUUUAAAUUCAAUGUUUAAAUUUAAAUUUAAUUUUUAAUUUUUAAUUUUUAGAUUAAUUUUUGAAUUUUUAAAUUUUAACUUUUAAAAUUUAAAAUUUGAAAAAGAGAUUUUAAACUUUAAAUAUUAAAUUUUAAUUUUAAAUUUCAAAUCUCAAAUUUUAGAUUUUAAAAUUUCAAAUUUAAAAAUUUCAAAUUUUAAAUUUAAGAUAAAGUUUAAAAUUUGACAUUUUAGAUUUUAAAAUUUAAAUUUGAAAUUUGAAAUUUUUAAAUUUUAAAUUACAAGUUUUAAUCUUCAACUUAUAAAUUUUUCAAAUUUAAAUUUUAAAUUUUAAAUUUUUAGUUUUAAAUUUUAAAUUUUAAACAUUCAAAUUUUAAAAAUUUAUAUUUUGUACUUAAUAAUAAUUUUAAUUUUGAAUUUUGAAAUUUCAAUUUAAUAAUUUUUGGUAUUUUGAAAUUUGUAUUUAACAAUUAUUUCAAAUUUCAAUUUAACAUUUCACAUUUUAAAUUUCAAAUUUCAAAGUUUAAAAUUCAAAUUUAAAAUUUAAAAUUUAAAAUUUCAAAAUAUCAAAAUUUUAAAUUUUAUCUAUAAAAUUUAAAUUUAUAUUUUUAAAUAUUAAAAUUUUAUAUUGUAGAUUUCAUAAUUUUUAUAUUUUUAAAUUUUACAUUUUAAAUUUAAAGUUUGAAAUUUAAAAUUUAAAUUUAUAUUUUUAAAUUAUUAAAAUUUAUAUUUUAAAUUCAUAAACAUUUAUAUUUUUGAAUUUAAAUUUAUAAUUUAUAAUUUUAUAUUUUAUAUUUUAUAUUUUUUCUUUCAUAAUUAUUCUAAAUUUUAAAAUUUUAAAUUAUUUUUUGAAUUAAAAUAUCAAAAUUUAAAUUUUGUAUAAUUUUGAAUUUUAAAAAUUUUAAUUUUAAUUGAAACUUAAAUUUAGAUUUUAAAUUUUUUAAAAUAAAAGUUAAUAAAAAUAUUAUUUUAUGCAAAUAUAAAAAAAUUUUGCCAAACAGUUUUUCAAAAUCAUUCAGAAAAAUUAUUUUUAUCUAAAAUCAGUCAAACGCUCUACAGCUUUUAACCAAAAUCAUUUAUCCAAACUAAAAUCACUUUUUCAGAAAUCACUUUUUCAAAAGUUAGGCCAAAUCGGCCCUAGUCACUUUCGAAUAAAACUUCAGUGGACAGAUCCCGAACUAGAUAUUCUACCGCUUCUAAAUAAAACUUCAGCAGGGAGCUUCUCAACGAUGCCUCUUAAGGGAGUCUCCCAAUCUGCUGUCAUGUGUAACUUUUGCCUCUGUUUAAAAAUUUAUUUAGUUUUUUUGUAUUUUAAAAUCCAUAAGAAAAAUUAUUAAAUGCUAUAGGAGAGGAUUAUAACUUUUAGAUACGGACAAAACAGGGUUCUCAACGAGACUUUGUUGAGGAGCUCUUCAUUAAAAUUUUUCAGCCACUUCUUCCCCACUAGUAAAAGAGCCAUCAAUAUUCAAGUUCUCUCAGGUUGGAGGAGAAAAUAAGUUGCUAAGAGGAAAUCUUGGAGGCUAUUUUGAAUUUUUUUUUCUUACCAACUAAUAAGUGUUUCUUGAUAGAGUUACGAUUUUGUUUGAAACAGUAAAUUUUUUCACAAUAAUAUAGAGUUUGAUGAGGAACAAUAAUAAUAUAGUGGUGCUUUUGCUUAAAAAAAGAUAAAGUAAGAAGUAGAAAAAACAAAGAUAUAGUAAAUAAAAAUUAUCCAAAAUUAUAGUAUAAGACAUUGUGUCACGCCCCGGAUUACACAAUUUUCCGGGCACGUCGACAAAUCCGCCGUAUACAAAGAAUUUUUCCUGUAUACGAAGCGUAUCGGUAACUGAAAAUAUACAAUAGUACAACCAGUAGUAUAGAGCUGUAAAGAAACCCAAACAGGUAGAAUAAAAUAAGUUUCACAUACAUACAACAAAACGCUAUACAAAGGUACUCGUUCCAGCGAGUUAUAACAACUGUAUGUAUAUGAACUUAACAAAAUAAACCGGAACUACCUGCAGAGGUGGAUCCUCUAUCUCAGCAACUCGUCGGGUAGGGCUCUAACUCACGACGCCCUUGCCUCGAUCAGUCUCGGAAGACGCAGUAGCCGGAACAGCAGGCUCUGCAAAACACAAAGUAACAACUGGGCGUGAGAACUACUGUAAAAACAAGUAGUCCUCAGUGGGUACCGCCCUCAAAAUCAUCGACUCACCCACUAAGACUACAGUAGGAAACGAAACUGGUAGGUAAAGCUCGAAAGAAAUUUACAGCUACAUGCGACUACACUAUUCAACUGUGUUUAUUAUCAAUUCUGACCCAAUCUCAAUAGGGACUGUGUACGCACCCGUCCCGCCUGUCUAAGCCGCGCUACCUCCACGCUAAACAGUCCGUGGAUAGCAACUAAUCAGCGACAUCAACGUGAAAGCACAGAGCCAGACUCCGGAGCGGCACUCGUGGGCGCAACCCACCCGAGUAUGCAAGCGCAUCUCUAUCGAGCUCAAUCAGGCUCUCACAGGCUAAAGUCAAAAAACAGGUCUAACAGUACUACCAACCACUGGUCACAUGCUCUCGGCACAAUCUGAUACUGAAACAAUCAAUUCCGAGUCCGCCGUCAAUAGGGCUGGCAAAUGAGCGAGCCGGCUCGCGUUCGACUCGCGUUCGACUCGAUAUUUGGCUCGCUCGAGCUCGACUCGAAAUUAAAUGAGCCGAGCUUGAACAAAAAAAAAGGCUCGAAAUUCAUUUCAAGCCGAGCUUGAGUAUUACUCAGCUCGUUCGAAUUAGGCUCGAAAAGCUCGAAUAUAUAUAUAUAUAUAUAUUAUAUAUAUAUAUAUAUAUAUAGAGAGAGAGAGAGAGAGAGGAGAGAGAGAGAGAGAGAGAGAAGAGAGAGAGAGAGAGAGAGUCCGGCUACUAUGCUAUCGGUGGCACGGAGCGCUCCGUGCCACCGAUAGCAUAGCCGGACUCUCCUCUCUCUCUCUCUCUCUCUCUCUCUAUAUAUAUAAUAUAUAUAUAUAUAUAUAUAUAAAGUUGGACUGGGCUACUAUUAUUAGCAAAAUCCCAUCGUUGCUCACCUAUUUUUUAGCCUUGGAUCAACUCUUUUCAUUAUUUCUAACCAUUGGAUUAAAUACUAUAACCCAGUGGGGACCACUCAACCUAGGGGGACCGCUCAACUCUAACCGACUAAUAUCAUCCUGACCCUACAAUUUUUCAUCCAAGGGUUAAAAAUUUGAUAGCAAAAAAAGCGUUUUACUAUUAAUAGUAUUGCUACCUAAUUCAUAUAUAAUAUAUAUAUAUUAUGCUAUCGAAAGUAUAGAGGAUUUGGUGCUUUCGAUUUUUUGAUUUAUAUCAACAUAAUCAUUUCUUUGAAUUAAUACUAUUAUUAACUUGUAGGGACCACUCAAUCUUAGGGAUAUUAUUAAUCGUAGGGGGACCGCAAUCAUCCCAACCAUACAUUCUAAUAUAUAUAUAUAUAUAUAUAUACAGUAAAAUGUACGUUCAAAUGCACGUAAUAAUUAUUAGAAAAAGUUAUAAUUUUUUAUAAAUAUUUUUUAAUUUUAGGCCAUAUUUUAUAUGAUUGCCAAAUAUUAACUAAAAAAUUUAAAAUAAUAAAUCACGCUAUUAAGAAAGAUAUGCUUUAAAUGAUAAAUAAUUAACAAUAAUCUCUAACACAAAAAUUACUUUUGAAAUUAAAUAGAAAAAUAAAAUCUGUUAGGAAAUAAAAUUUUGAAAUUAAAUAAAAAAUAAAAUCCGUUAUCUUAAAAAAAAUAUAUUUUGAAAUUAAAUAGAUAAUAUCUAAAAAGAUAUUUAAAAUAAAAUAGAAAAUAUUCUAUUAUAGGUUUUCACACCGUAAUUGUUUUAGAAAACUAUACUUUUGAAAUUAAAUAGAAAAAUUUAUAUUUUAGGAUUUUCAUAUCAGUAAUCUGUUAUAGAGAACUUACGUAUUCAUUGCUGUUUCUAUUUCUAUUUUAUUCUUGUAUUUAAAUUUUUCGUAAAGAAGAGAAAAAUGGGCGCUAAUUUUCCCGCCGAAGACCUAAAUUUGAAUAUACGUGCUUAUAUAUAUAUAUAUAUAUAUAUAUAUAUAUAUAUAUAUAUAUAUAUAGAGAGAAGAAGAGAGAGAGAGAGAGAGAGAGAGAGAGAAGAGAGAGAGAGAAGAGAGAGAUUAAAAAAUAUAUAAAUAUAAUAUAUUUUAAUUAUAUAUAGGUUGAAUGAAUAAUCUGAGUUUAGUUAAAAUUGGCCAAUAUUGUUGGCCCAUAAAAACAAACGAUAGGCAAAUAAAAGAGCAAAAUUUUACUAAAUUUAUACAUUUUUCUUUUUUUCUUUCUUUCUUUCAUAUAGCUCUAAAUUUUCAAUAUAUUUCUCUCUUUCUCUUUUCUGUCUCUCAUCCUAUAUGCCAAGCCAGAAGCCCUCCAAGUUACCAUAGCAGCAUAUGCCUGCCGUUGCCUAUCUUUUGCUAUUAAUUGUAUUGCUUGAGAAUAAUAUACAGAAUAUUUUUAAAGUAAAAAAUUAUUAUUCAUAUAAAAUUUAAUUUUAGUUAUAAUGAUUGGAUAGUUUAAUCUAAUAUUUAUCUAUAUAAUUUAUUAUUUUUGACUGCAUAAAUGAAAAUAAAUAUAUAUGGAGAUUGAAGGCGGAAGAAAAGACAUGUGAGACUUAAAAGAAUUAGAUAUUCAACUCAUAAUUUUUUUUCAUAUUAUAAUAUAUAUUUUUAUAUUAUUUUGUACUUUGAACUAUUAGACAUAUUUUUGUAUCAAAUUAUAGAUAAUGUUCUAUAACAAAUUAAAACUAUUGAUCGUAUGAUGUUGAGAAUUUCAAGCGGCUCGUUUAGGGCUCGAGCUCGCUUGACUCGAAAUUAGCUCGCUCGAGCUCAGCUCGAAUUAAUUUCAAUCCAAGCUUGAGCUUAAAUUUAGGCUCGAAAUUAAUUUCAAGCCGAAUUUGAGCCGAGGUAAGCUCGCUCGAGCUCGACUCGUUUCCACCCCUAGCCGUCAACCACUACGGCACCCACUAGUCCGGAACACUGUAAACACUACUGUAAAAAUCGGCUCGGCAUCCCAGCACGAGCGUAACUGAAAUCUGAACUAUCUGGAAUACUCACUAUGAGGAUACUGCAACAGUAUAAAAAGUACAACGGCCCCUAAGGCUAAAUCAGGUAGUUUAAUAUAUGACAGGUUCCGAACACUGGUUUUCUCCUAUGUUUUAUCCAAGUCCAACAUGUAUAAUUAAUAACAAACAGUAACAUGCUUCCAAUUCAAUAUAUAGGCCUAGAACAAUGCAUAAACAUGAAUCUGAGCUAAACAGUACCAACGCAGAUAUUCUAACUAUACAUGUUGACUAACAAGGCUAUAGGAGUAGAAAUUCGAUGAUAAACCCACCUCGAAAGCGGGUCCGACAACGGCGAGACGUCGAGAACGACAGAAUCACACCCUCGCCCGGCCUCCUCGCGAUGCUACGGUAACACGCGCGUGCUCGAACGGCUCCGCGACGCGACGUCAACGUUGCUCCAAGCUUCAACCGGGUUCUCCUCGUCCUUGCGUACGGCUCCAGAGAAAAGAGAGGAAGGAAAAAUUAAUUAAGGAGGUGCGGGUGCAUCUCUUAAUUAAGGAAAUGGAUAAGCAUGCCAUGCAUGCAAAGGCAACGUGACAUCCAUACAAUAUAAUCAUAUAUAUAUAUAUAUAUAAGUAUAAGGAUACUACACAUUGGUAAGAAAAUGUAGCUAAGCUUAGAGUGUUCAAAUAACAUAUAAACUUUUUCAGCUAAGUUUAUAGUGUUCAAAUAACAUAUAAAUUUUUUUACCGAUUGUCUCUAGAGUAAGUGGCAAAGGGCUUGGUGGUUGGUACCUGAGACCCAAGUUCGAAUCCUAAUUGAUUCAAACUUUCAGCUAAGUUUAUUUCUAAAUGAAAUAAACGAAGCGGAUAGCAUGCUACCUAUCUCUCAAAAAAAAAAAAAAAAAACAUAUAAACUUUUUGUUCUGGAAAAUUGGAGAUUCCACUAAUUCUAAUCUAAGCAUUUAAAUAAUAGGGCUACUAUACUCUUAUGAGUAUAGAGCCCUUCGUAGUUAUAAAUUAUUUUUGAUGAUGGAGCUUUUGAAUCGACGAUCCACUCUAUUAAAUAUAAUAUAAAAUAUUUGGAACUUUUAGAAAAUAAAUUUCAAAAUUUUUCAAAAACUUAAUAACGUCUAUCAAACAUGCAUAAAAUAAACAGUUAAAUUCGAACGACGUCCUAAAAAUGGAUAAUCAAAUCCUUCAAUUUAAGAUCGGAGUUGCUAAUCUUUAUCUAGAUAGUUAAUAAAAUUUUUCAUAAAAAAUUCAGCUUAUUUCAAUUCUUUUACACCGUUAAACUAGCAAGUAUUUCAUACCGGCUAUUAAAAAUUGUUAAUUUUGUGACCUUUUGAUUGUAAGAUAAACGAUGUCGAAAAAUCAUAAAAUUUUAUUUUUAGAAGUUUUAAAUACUCUAAAUAAUGUUUAAUGGUAUGGAUCAUCGAUUCGAAACUUCUAUUAUUGAAAACGACUUAUGAGUGCAAGGGCGAUCAUACUAAUAAGAGUAUAGCAGUCAAACUCAACAUUUAGGGCAUAUUUGUUUCACCUAUUUUAGACUAUGGAAUCGAAAUGAAAUUCAUAGUUGCCGUUUGUUUUAUGGGAAUCGCAUUCCUAUUCCCAUUCCACUCUGGAAUGGAAAUGGCCAAAUCUAUUUAUAAUCCAAUCUGAUUUUGAAUUCUGGAUUAGCUUAUUCCAAAAUAAACUAUUCAAAAUUCUCUUUCACCAACAUCCACCUUCUCUUCCUUCUUCGUCACUUUCCUCUCUUUUAAUCAAAAUUCUCUCUCAAACAAUUUUAAAUUGCCAUUCCCAUUUUCAUUCAAUAAUAAUGAAUCAAAUAUUUUUGAAUGAUUCGUUAUUCCAUAUAUAUAUAUUAGUAUAUAUAUAUAUAUAUUAUAUAUAUAUAUAUAUAUAUAUAUAUAUAUUAUAUAUAAUAUAUAUAGCAGGGCUGCUGUGCUCUCAGAGAGCGAGAGCCUCCGUGCUCCUGAGCCGUUUUCGAUGAUGAUGAAUUUCGAAUCGACGAUCGCUCCGUUAGACUUGAUCUAGCGCAUUUGAAGUUUCUAGAAAAUAAUUUUUGCGAUUUUUCAAUAUCAUUUACCUAGUGAUCGAAAGGAUUCAAAAUCUAUAAUUUUUAAAGGUUGAUAUCUGCCGUUUUCAAGUUUAACGGUGUAGAAGAUUCAAUCAGAUGAAAUUUUGAUAGAAAAUCUUAUACUAAUCUACACAACAAGACCUAUAUUUCUGAUCGAAAUUUUAGUGCUAUAUCACCCACUUUUUAUAGGAUUUUUAUUUUCAGCCGUUAAAAAUUAUUGAUUUUGAAUCAUUUCGAUUGCUAGGUAAAUAAUAUCGAAAAAUCGCAAAAAUUAUUUUCUAGAAACUUUAAAUACGCUAGAUCAAGUUUAACGGAGCUGAUCGUCGAUUCGAAAACUCCAUCAUCGAAAACGGCUCAGGAGCACGGAGGCCUCCGUACUCCUGAGAGCACAGCAGCCCUGCUCUAUAUAUAUAUAUAUAUAUAUAUAUAUAGGAUCCGGCUACUAUACUAUUAUGAGUACAAUCGCUCUCGUACUCAUAAAUCGUUUUCGAUGAUAGAGCUUCUGAAUUGACGAUCCAUAUCAUUAAACGUUAUCGUUUUCAAUAAUAGAGCUUCUGAAUUGACGAUCCAUAUCAUUAAACAUUAUUUACAGCAUUUAAAAUUUUUAGAAAUAAAAUUUUAUAAUUUUUCGACAUCAUUUACCUUACGAUCAAGAAGUUACAAAAUUGACAAUUUUUAACGGCUGAUAUGGGAUACUUGCUAGUUUAAUGGUGUAAAAGAAUCGAAAUUUGUUAAAUUUUUGAUAGAAAAUUCUAUUCACUACAUAGAUAAAGAUCAAUAACUCCGAUCUUGAAUUGAAGGAUCCGAUCAUCCUUUUUUAGAAUAUCGUUCGAUUUUCACCGUUCAUUUUAUGCCAACUUGAUGGAUUUUAUUAUGAUUUUGAAAAUUUACGAAAUUUAUUUUCUAGAAGUUUCGAAUACUUUAGAUCAUAUUUAAAUUUCUAGAAGUUUCAAAUACUCUAGAUCAUAUUUAACGGAGUGGAUCGUCGAUUCAGAAACUCCAUUAUUGAAAACAAGUUAUGAGUACGAGGGCUCUAAUACUCAUAAUAGUAUAGUAGCCAUAGCCUAUAUAUAUAUAUCCGGCCCACAUAAGCCCAAAACCUUGUCUCACCCUAUUUAAGCCAACUAGAGUUUCUGAACUAUUUUUUUAAAUUUUUUAUUUUUUUUUUUGAUAUUUUCAAUUUAGAACUAAAAUGUUUUAUUUUCCGAAUUGAAAAACAGAUCUUCAGCUUUUCAUUUAUAAAAUGUUUUUCAUAAAAACUUUUGUUAGUGCAUAAGCUACCAUUCUAGCCAGAUCCUUUUCACCAGCUCAAGAUAAUUAAUGAACAUCACAAAUUUUGCUAAAAAAGGAAAAAGAUUGCAUUUAAGUACCCCUCAACUAAGCUCACAACUAAGCUCACAAACAGAGCCCGGCCACAUACAUUAUUACCACUUCACUUCAACACUCCAUGAUCAAAAAAAGAAAACAAAAAAAAAAAAAAGAAAACAAAAUCCAACGCACCUACCUAAGACCUUGGACUCCAUAACUCUGCACCCAAAAAAGGAAAAAAGAAAAAAAAAAAUCAUGGGCUCCACUAUUAUUACCAGAAUUCAAGUAUGCAUGUACUAUAUAAAACCCCCCAGCAUACAACUGCAGAUGCAUCUAAGCUCUUUUUAUGUAAGACUCGGCGAUCUGGCCGCGCGCGCCGUUUGGAUAAAAUCCGCCCGGCACGCUGGCGUUUCCGCUGGCGUACACAAUCCUGAGAAUAUCCUCGGGGGUCCGGUCGUAGGCAGUCGAGUACCUAUCGCCGGCAAUGAUGUUCCCCUGGAUCUUGCCCUCCGCCCCCAGGACGGGCGGCACGACGAGCCCCUCGUCCUUCACCCCCGACUUGCCCAACUUGUUCCGUAGAUGAGAGGCGCGAUUCGUGAACUCCGCAACGGUGAAGUCGUACGGAUACACUUUCGUCAGCAAGCGCUCGUACAGCAGCGUCCGGAUCACCGCGUCUUGGGCCGACUCUACCGCCAGUAAUCCUGCGACAAGCUGCGUAUAUAAAAAUAAUUUGUCAGUGCGUCUUUCACUUGAAAUAAAGUUAAUUAUCCAAACCCUUCGAAGCGUCACACGCAGAAAGUGUGAGAUGCCACGGUUAUCAUCACUCUCUUGGCAUUUACCAUACUAAAUAUUGUUUUCUUCUAAACAUUUUAUUUCAUUAAUGAAAGUGGACUUUGGUAACACGCGCAAGUUUCGUGCUUAUUAGUUAACCCUUGUGGAGUGAAACAGAAUUCAUGUUCUUGUGUCACAUGGUUCAUGCCUAAAGAUCGAAGGGUCUAGAUUUUUUGUGGCUAUUGUGUACAGAAAAAUUUUAUGCACUGAUUCAACUGGUGAAUUUAUCUAAAGGCAGAGCUCAUCUCAACCACUAGUUUAAUCGAUUGUCAGAUCCAUAAAUGGUUAUACGAUUACUAAUGAGUAACGUUUAUAUGCAGAAGAAUGAAAAAAUAUUACUGAACAGAUGCAUUGAAUCAUCUCAUUUAAAAAGGGCAAGUGGUGUGAACAGUCCUAUCUUUCAAUUCGACGCUUCACACCCUCCCUUCUCGUUUGGAUCGGAAUGAAAUUAAAAAAUGUAUUUCUACUUGGAAUAUGAUGAGCGCAAAGAAAUUACCCUCUUGGCGCGAGCACUCUUGAGCUUCGGGUUCGCUCCGACGUAACCGGUGAGCCCGACAUAGGGGAUAAGAUAGGAGGCGAGCAGGAAGUUGAGCCCAUUGGCGUAGGGAUCGAACGGCGGGUUGAGCUCGCGGUUGAGCGCAUUGUUCACCGUCUUGGCGAAGUUGGUCGCACUCAGGUCCAGCAACGGUCGCGGAAACCCCUUCACCCUCUUCUUUAUUGCUCUGCACAAAAGUACGUGCGCAAAGUUAAGCCUAGGAUACAAAUGCGGCAUAAUGUUUAUGAAGAAGAACAUAUAUCAAGGCGAUUUCUAAAUCAUUUUCUACACAGAAGAAAGAAUAGUAUAAAAGAACGAAUGAAAUUAACCUGAUAUGGCCGACUUCUUGGUACGCAAACUGAGUGACGACGUCAAGAAUGAGGGGGUCGAGGGCGGCCUUCCUGGCCCCGACGGGUGAGGGGCCGCCUUCGGUGAGGUUGGGCGCCACCACAUCGAGGCCGUGGCCGAGGGCGCCCCAGAGGAAGAACUCCGCCUCCAGGUACUCCAAGUUCAACGGGAAUUCGAGCAAUUCAACAUCCGACUCCGGCAGCGCCACGUGCACACCUCCGCGGUGGCGGUGGUGGUGGUGGUGAUGGCUCAAUUCCUUAAAAAUCUGAGCGAAGAGAGGGCUCGGAAUUGUCGCGAAGACGAAAAAGAGGAACAAAGAAGCAGAGGAAACAGAGUAGUUCAACACACCCAUGUUUACUUGUGUUUAGUGUUAUGAUCACACAAGUGUUUUUCUUUCUUUUUUUUUUGCUUUAAUUUUUCUCCCUUUUUUUGCACCAAUGCUAGGUGCUAUUUAUAUGGCAACGGUUGAGUGCCACGUUGCAUUGCGACGAGCGUUACCUCGGACUGGUUGCCACGUGGCAACUGCCCAGCUGGUUUGGUCGUUUGGGUCGGAUGUAGAGUGCCAGUUGGGUCGGAUGACGAGGUGACACGUGGCAGGCUUUGUGAAAAACGAUGAUAUCGUGGCGCUUGUCUAUUGGCGGUUGUAGUAUGUACGCCCGUUCGGGAAUUGUAGCGGAUCCGAUAGAGGUGGAGCGCGUCACUUGUGCGAGAGCGUGUCCCAUGCGGACGCUGCGGUAGGCACCACGAAAUCAAUCAUAUUUUUUUUUAUGAGAAAAAUAUAAUAAAAAUAUUUUUUCAUUACAUCAAUUCAAUUUUAUUAGUUGAAACGCCGUAUCAGCAAUACAUAUUUAAUACAUUAUAAAUUGUCUUUUGAUUUUCGUGCUCUUUUGGGAAUAUAUUUAUUGAACGGACAAACGUAAACUUUAAUUAUUUAAUUUUUACAAAUUAAAUUUAUUCGUACUUUUACUUUCUAGAUACUGUGAUUAAGUAGUAGUAAUAAAUUACAAAAAAGAAUAAAUUUAAAAAUAAAAAAAUGAUUAUUUUAUAAAAUUUCACCUAUAGUUCGGAACUAUUUCCCGUAUAAACUAUUUUACAAAUCCAAUCCAUUAUAGACUGUUUAUUUUAAAUCCAACUGAAUUAUAAUAUCUAGAACCUAUGUAUUAAAUUUUAUAAUUUUAUAUUUUAAGCAAAAGAAAUAUUAGUUUCAAAAGUAUAUAUAUAUAUAUAUAUUUUGGAAUGUGGCUUAGUAAACAAGCUUAAACUUUUUUUUAAAAAAAAAAUUAGAAAUUGAGAGGCCCUCAAUCAAAUAAAUAAAUAAAUAAAGGUAAGGGGUCUCGUUUGAAAUGGCCCAUAGUUGUGGGGGUCUCCAUACAAUUUUAUAUUUUUUGGAAUUACUUAGAUGCCACGCAUUAAUAAUCCAGAUUUUAUGAAUUUUUAAUAUCACACAUCUCACAGUAAAUCUAACUUGAUUCCAGAUACACGACAUGUAGAUCGUUUUCGAAUAAUUUUUUUAAAAUCCAAAACCGUAUCUGAAUAAAAAAUUAAAAUUUGAAUCGUACCCAAACAGAUCCACACAUAAAAACUCAAAUCGAAAUUGCGCUACUAAAAUAAUUUUUUUAAAAAAAUCUAAUUUCCCUUAUCCAGAGAAAAAUAUCGAACCUGACUAUCUAAUAUAUUAAAUAUAAACUAAAUUAGUCAUAUAAAUAAAUAUCUAAACAAUUAUAUAUUAUAUAUAUUCGACUAAAUUAUAGAAAAUUUUCUUAUAAAUAUCUGCUUUUUCACUUUUCUUUCUUAAUUUUCAAUCACUAUUCCGUCAAUUUCUUAUUAUCUAUACUAAAAAUAUCCUUCAAAAUAACAAAAAUAUAUUAAAAUAUUAUUUUUUUAUAAAAGAAAUAAAGGUAAUUUGGUCACCGUUAACGCUGUACACUAUGAAAAUAUUUUUGAAAUUUUAAGAAAAUAAAAUAUAGAUUUUUAAAAGUUAGAAAGAGAAAGUAAAAAAAGCUGAUAUUUACAGAACAAUUUUCUAUAAUUUAGCCUAUAUAUAUUAUAUAUAUAAUUAUUAUAUGAUCUUAGUUUCAGAUUUUAUUGGAGUUCAUAUUCGAGCAAAAGCCAUUAUCAAAACCGUAAUCGAGUUCUUAAUUUUUAUUUCCAUAAUGAAAAUAUUCUCAUUUUGCUUCAAUUUAAAUCUUUGUGCUCUUUUUUGCCUCAGUCUCUUUAAUAAAUUUCGCAUUCAUAAAAUGUUAAAAAAUAAAAAAAAAAUACCAGCUAUUGGUUUUUUAAAAAAAUUUUAUGGUUUGACAAAGAGGAUACAAUUUUUCCACCACAAUGCAUAUGAUUGAUACAUAUUUAAAAUUAUAUUUUAGCUUUAUUUUAUGGAUAAUAAAAUUAAGAAAAAGGAUUAAGCAAUAACAAUACAAUACAAUGACUAGGUUUUCAAUAUUGAGGAAGUAAACCACCAUAUCUUUAAGGGGUUUAUCUGCAUUUUAGCCACCAACUAAUGUUGAAGAUGAGAUUUCUUUUAUUUUAUUUUUAAAUUUUUUUUUAUGAAAUAGCACUAAAUUUCAUUUAUUUUCAUUUCAUUCUCCUUUAUUCUUACAUUUAAUGUUCUUAAUAGUUACAACUCUAUUAAUACUCACCUCUUAAUUACUCUUUAAUUUCAUUUAUAUCCCCUAUAAACAUUUUAAUAGUGAAAUAUUUAAGGCAUUAAUUAUAAAGAGAAAAAAACUGUCUAAUUAUUGCCCAAGAAUAAUUGCUUCAGUUUUACAUGUUUAUAUUUUUCCUAUCUUAUAUUUAAUGUUAUUAAUAGCUAUUACAUGCAUAUGUUUUCCUUUCCUAAUUAAUUAAAUAAUUAAAUACUAUACUUUAGGUAACAAAUUAAUAUGUAGUAGUAAAUAUAGCUUCUCCAAGAUGCAUUGUAUCUAUCCUUCAUAUCAAAAUUGGCCCUUUAAAUGUUAGCCUCAUUUUUGAUAUUUGGAAAUUUGUUUUUAGCGAUCAAUAUCGUUAAGCAUGAUUUAUAAUAUUUGAACUUUUUAUAUAUUAAAUUUUUAUAAUUUUUCGAUUCUAUCCACUAAGAAAAUCAUGUGGCCUUAAAAGUGACAAUUUUAAUCGUCUAUAUGAAGUAUUUUUUUAUUUAAUGGUGUAAAAUAAUUCAAAUCGAUUGAAUUUUGGAUAGUAUUUUUUUUAACUAAAUCUUAAAUUUAAAGUUCUUAUUCUCUCUUCUUAGAAGAUUGUUUAGUUUUGACCAUUAAUUUUUUUUGUUGAGUUGAUGAUUUAGAAAAUACUUUUAAUUUAAAAGUUAUAAAAAUUUGAUUUACAAUAUUCAAAUACUUCAGAUCAUAUUUAAUACUUUUUUAUUAUUAAAUCAGGUGUUCAUUUUAAUAUCACCGGGGCUCGACCAUUUCUCUUUCAUGUUCUCGGAAGCAUCAUUAAUAAAAAAAAAAAAACCGAAAUUUCUCUAUUAAUAUUUUUUAUUUUUAACACGAAACUUCAUCUCAUUAAUAACUAGGGAUGUCAAUGGAAAUGGUUACAUGAAAUUUUAUUUGAAUCCAAAUCGGAGCUAAGUAGGUUUAUCUGAUGGUGAAUGAAUAUGGUUUCAGAUAUAUGUAUAAAAAAAUGAAAAUAGAAUGGAUUCGAAUUUGGCUAUGAAUUUUGACAAUAUCAGAUCCGAAUUUGAACCCAGCCGAAAGCUGAGUAUAUUUUGUAUUAUAUAAUAUAUGAAUAUUGGAUGUUAUGUUUAAAUUAUAUUUUAAAAUUUUAGAUUUUAAUAUAAUAUAUUAUUGAAUUAUGGUAAAGAUAAAUGAUUAUUUUGGGGGUUCGAAUUUCAAGUUUUUGGUUGGGUUCAGUUUUGGAAAUAGAUUUUCAAAAUCCAACGGAUUCAGAUUCCAUUUCAGAUUUUUGGCCGAAUUCAAGUUCCAUAUCAUAGAUACUAUUUAAGAGGUCUGGAGUUUGAACUUUUGUGCUGAUGAAAGUAUACUAAUCGAAGUGAUAGGCUUAUGAAGAACUUCAAUAAAAUUAAUAGUUAAACAAAGAUAAACUUCAAUUUGUCCCCCUCUAAUUUACUGUUUUUUUUUUUUUUACUGUAGAAGCUUACGGUGAAACAAAAAUAAACUAUAGAAUAGUUGAGUAUAACUUUUUCAGCUGCGGGACGAUAAAGUAAAAAAUGUGCUAAACAAUUGUGCGACUCUUUCCGGCGAAUUGGGUUCGGCUUGAAGCCCAGCCCUUGCUACUCAAAGCCCACAAAAUUUUGUAUUGGCCUACAACUUUUUUUAGGGUUCAUGUGAAGCCCAAGUUGGAAUAGGAUUAGGGGUGGAAACGAGCCGAGCUCGAGCGAGCUUAUGUCAGCUCAAAUUCAGCUUGAAAUUAAUUUCGAGCCUAAAUCUAGGCUCAAGCUCGGCUUGAAAUUAAUUCGAGCGAGCUCGAGCGAGCCUAAUUUCGAGUCGAGCCGAGCUCGAGCUCUAAACGAGCCGAUUGAAAUUCUCGACAUUAUAUAAUCAAUAGUUUAAUUUUUAUAGAACAUUACCUACAAUUUGAUGCAACAUGUCCAAUAGUUCAAAAUACAAAAUAAUUAUAAGAAAUGUGAGCUAGGGUGACUUCCUGACUAGAUAAGGGUAAUUUGAAUGUUAUCAUGUUUUAGGAUUAUGUGCAAUAGUGAAAGUCUGAAAGAGAGAGUGCGUUAUGUAAAUUUAGAGUUAGGCUUAAUUGCACGGUUGUACUUAUUGGGUUUAUUUUAUGGGCCAACAAUAAUGGCCCAAAUUAAAUUAAAGCCUAUCUAUAAUUAAAAUACAUUAUAUUUAUAAAUAUUAUAUAUAUAUAUAUAUAUAUAUAGAGUCCGGCUACUAUACUUUUAUAAGUAUUGGCUCCUUUAUACUCAUAAGUUUUCGACCCUUAGAUUUAUUCCAUUAAUCAUUUUCAUCCGUUAGAUCAUACUAUUUAACCAACUACCCACUCAACCCUAGGGGACCACUAUCAUUCUAAGUGGAGACCACCAUCAUCCUAACCACACAUCUCAUCAAUCAACGGUUAAAAAUUUAUGAGUACAAAGGGAUCUAUACUUAUAAGAGUAUAGUAGUCCCAGCCUAUAUAUAUAUAUAUUCGAGCUUUUCGAGCUUUUCGAGCCUAAUUCGAACGAGCCGAGUAAUACUCAAGCUCGGCUUGAAAUGAAUUUCGAGCUUUUUAUUUUGUUCAAGCUCGGCUCAUUUAAUUUUGAGUCGAGCUCGAGCGAGCCAAAUAUCGAGCCAAACACGAGUCGAACGCGAGCCGGCUCGCUCGUUUGCCAGCCCUAAAUAGGAUUAUAUUAGAUUAGGCCGAAUUUCUCCAAUUAUAAAUAAUAGAUAUUAGAUUGGAUCCACGCUUCGCGGCGAGUAGAUAGUAUUUUAUUUUAAAACAUAUUAUAACUAAAAAAAUAUUAAAAAAAAUCUAUAAAGUAGUUUUACGUAAAUUAUAAAAAAUAAUUUUUUAUUAAUAUUUUCUUAAUUUUCAAUAUUUGUCGAGUUAAAUUAUUUUAAUAAUUUUAUUUAAAAAUUUAAUCAAACUUACUAGUUUUGAUAGCUAUUCUAUAAAUAAUAUUUUUACCUAAAAAAGUAAAGUUGAAGGACUUAUUUCAAAUUACAGAAUAUGUGGAGAUAUCUUUACAUUGUUAAAAUUGACUGCACAAAGAAAAAACUAUUACAUGCACUUGGUGUAUAUUAAUAUCCAUGCACCACAAAUUAUAUUAAAUGAUUAAUAUUCUAAUACUAAAAUUUAAUUAAAUAUAUCUAAUUUAUAAAAUCUAAUAAUUUAAAUAUGUUUGAUGAAUUAUAUACACAAGGCGCAUAUAAUUUCAAGAGAGAUGAGAAAUUUUUGCUUAUACCUAGUGCAUGCCAAUAUUCUAUACACCGGACAUAAUAUGAGAUGAUUGAUUGAUAAAAUAUUUGCUAAUAAUAUAAUAUAUGUAAUACAAAAUAUUUAAAUAAUUUAUUAUACUACAAAAAUUUAUUCUUAAUGCAUAUUUUAUAAAUUAUUUAUGAUGCAACGGAUGAGUCCGAAAAUUGUAUUGGUCAUGUGGCGAACUCUUAUUGGUUCAUACCUAGGCUUUACUAUAUUUAUUUAUUAUGAUUAAAUAAAUAGAUCGAUGGAUCGAUCGAUGUGAUAUAUUUAUAAAAAUGGUGCAUAUAAUAAUAUAGUAGAUAUAUAGAUAUUAUAGAUAUGUAUGUAGAUAUUAUGUUAUGCGGCCACAUGGAGUAGAGAUUAGAUAUGCGGGUGCUUGUCACGUUGAAGUUAUUAUAUAAUGCAUAAUUAGUUGUCAUAUUUCGUUGACUUAAUCGAUUAAUUGUAAUAAUUAUAAUUAUAUUUAAUCCCCUUCACCACUGUUUUCCAGGAGCUUCCAACUAUUUGGGGGAGUAAAUUAAUUGGAAUAUAUAUUCAUUAAUUGCAAGCAUGAUAGAAUAUUAAAGAUACCUAAAAAUUCAUUAAAAGUAAAAUAAAAAUAUUGAUUCAAGAAAUAGUAAUAUUUAUUGACACCUCGAUAAUUAUUAUUUUUCGAGAUGUAUUUUUUUAUAGAAUUAACGCAUAUAAGUUUUCAUGAUAGAAUAGUUGAAAAAAUGUUUAUAUAUAGAGAAAACAAAAGAGUUAAUUAAAGGUGUUAAAGUGACUCUGAUCAAUUCAAAAACUUAAGCUAACAUAUAAAGAUAAAAUUAACUAAUAACGCAUGACGCAAUUAAAUCUAACAAAUAAGCUUGGCAAUAGUGAUUUAUAUGCACUGAAAAUAGCUACAAAAAUAUGAACAAGAGCUUUGAUAUUACGAUAAAGAACUCAAAUCAUUAGAAAAAUCUUAAGCUAAACUUUGUUUUAAACUAAUAUACAAAAAUUAACAUUCUUAAUCGCGGGGUGUAUUUCAAAAUAUCCUGUGGUUGAGGGAGAACCCUAUAUAAUUUCACCAAAAUAAAUAAAUAACAUAGCAUAAAUCUAUUCCCAAUUAUCCAAUAAUUAAUAGCAUACAAUUUUUUUAAAAAAAAAAAGCAAAAAUCUAAGUCCAAGCCCAACUGAAGCAAUCAAUUUUCAGAUCCAAAUUCAUUGUGGCAAAUACAUUAGUUUUUUUUUUUUUCCCACCACAAUGCCAUCAAUUAAAUCAAUUAGGAAGAAGGAUUAUUAAUUUGCUAUGGCCAAAUAUGACCCAAAUUAUUGAAUAUAAUUAAGUAUAUAUUAAAAACACUGGUUUUUGAAAAUUUAAGUUUGCGAGAAAAUCAACUAUUUGAUAUCUUUAAAGAUUGGCUAAUUUAAAAGAUAAAGUUAUUAAAAAAUUAUUCGAUUGCAUGUAACUAUAACACAUUGUACUUGGAGAUAUAAACAAUUGAAAAUAUAAUAUUAAUUAAUAUUACAAGAUGUUGGUUGGUUGAGUGUAGUAAAAAUUGCUGCAACUAGGAGUAAUUGCACACAGCUCCCUAUAAACAUAUCGGAUAGCAAAUAAAUUUCUAUAAAAUUCUACUUUUCAUUUUUAUUCCUACACAAGUCGAGUGAUAUUCAUAUUUGUCACUCCAAUUUAUUACCAUUAGAGUACUAUUUAUUUUUUAAUAGCAGAUAAGUAAAAUAAUAUUUUUGCCCUUAUAAAUAUCUCUCUAAAAGUCCUCCCAAAAAAAUAUUUUACCUAAUAAUAUAAGAGAGAUAAAAAGGUUAAUUUAACUCAUUCACUAAUCAAUGUUGGGUAUUUUACUAGGUAUGUCAAUGAGUACGAAUAUCCACAAUUUUAUUCGAACCCGAACCUGAACGGAGCAGAUUUAUCCGAUACUAAAUGGAUAUGGUUUCAAAUAUAGAUAUCAAAAAUAAAAACCCGACGGAUAUGGAUUUUUUGACAGUAUCCAACCCAAACCCGACUCGAAUCCAACCCGAAUCAAAAUUUAUUUUACAUUAUAUAUAAUAUGUAUAUAAAAAUUUGAUGUUAUAUUUGAAUUUGUGUUUUAAAAAUUUAGAUUUAAUAUAAUAUAUUUUGAAAUAUCAAAAAAAUAAAUAAUUGUUUUGGGUUUGGAUUUCGGGUUUGGGUUUCGAAUUUUUGGCCGGGUUCGGGUUUGGAUAUGGAUUUUAUAAUCCGUUGGGUUCGAGUUCAGGUUCGGAUAUCGGGUAUCGAGUCAGGUUUGGGUUCGGGUUUUUUAAAAUCCGCCCCAAAUCCUAUCCGUUGACAUCCCUAUAUUUCACUCAUAAUAACUAGAUUUUUCUAACGAUCCUAACAGUAGGGUAUAUUUGAAAAUGGUAUGACUUUUGCGGGAACAAAAAUAAAAAGUUAAACUUUGUAGAGAUAUAUUUGCUAUUCGAUAUGUUACAGGAAGCUGUAUGGAAUUAACCCGUGGCAACUAUUAAUAAUUUAUUCUGAAUAUAGAAGAAAAUUUUAUUUUUUGUUUAAAAGGUGAUAAGGAAAGUGAGCUUAUUUUUAAUUUAAACAAAAUUGCAUUUUCAAAGUUUUUCACUUAUUAUAUAGGGUGGUUAGAUUUUUCCAAAAUGUUGAGUUUAAAAGGUGGAUUAAGUUUGUAAAGUUAUUUAUUGUUAUAGUUACAAUCUCCGACGACUAUAUUUAUAACUAUAGUUAAUUUGGGCAUAAUAAUAGCUAUUACAGUUGAGCCUCUUUGUACAGUUUUAAUAGCAACAAUCAGAUUGAGAUACAUCAUCACAAAUACUGCAUAGAAAUUUAUACGCAACUACAAUUAAUUAUAUUGCAGUUAUAAAAAUAGACAACUACUGUACAAAAAGCCAAAAAAAAAAAAACAAUAGUUGCUUUGUACUUGGUCUAGAAUAUAUAGACCUACUAAUUAAUAAGCUGCUUUGUAAUUGCAUUAUCUGCAAUAACUUAAUUUCUAAAGAAUAUGACUUUAUGACUACAUUUGUCACAUCUCCAAAAAAGUUGAUAUGUAAAUAAUAUAUUGGAGUCUAGUUAUGGUGCUUUUAAAAGUACCAAACAUUUAGUACUGAUAAAUUUUUCGUUGUUAGAUUUAUUUGUUUGAUUAUUUUUACCCGUUAGAUUAUACUAUUUAACCAACCGCUCACUCAAUUUUAGAGGAUCGCUAUCAUCCUAAUCGCAUAUUUUUUAAUCCAAAGGUCUAAAAUGUAGUAUCCUUUAUAUAUAUAUAUAUAUAUAUAUAUAUAUAUAUAUAUAUAUAUAUAUAUUAAUAAGGUAUGGGAUGCCACGUGCCCAUGCAUCGGUUAUCCAUUCAAUUAAUUGAGUGAUGCAGCUAAACCUCUAUAUUUAUAUUUUUCGUUCUCUUCUUUUUUCGUGUGGAGUGAGAGCCGACGGUAAGGGACCGCGUAGAGGUAGCCGCGAAGAUCGGAUUCGGCGUCGACGUCGCGUCGCGUUAGAGUUGGCCUACGUUUGUCGCCGAUAGAAUUGCGAUGGAGGCGGUCAGAGGGUGUGUUUAUCGAACGUCUAUCGACGUCGCACGGAUACUAGGGUCGCUGUCGAGGUGGGUGUGCCGUCAAAUUGCUUCUUUAUUUCCAAGCUUCUUCAAAUUUGAGCUAGGUGCUGUCCCUGCAGAUUUCCAGCGUCGACCGUUGGCGUUUCGGCUCGUACUCGGUGUAGGAGCGUCGGAUUUCGACGAGACUUGGUUCGUUGGAUUCAGGACUUCGAGAGAAAUCCACGAAGCCCUUAGUUUCUGGAUUUGGUGAAGGUUAGCUGGGUCGAAAUUAUGUUCUCCUCUGCUGCUGUGUUUCGGACAGAAUUUGAGUUGGAGUUCUUCGUUGCGAUGUGUGCAGGGCGAUUUCGAACUUGAGCUGGACACCCUGAUUUUUUCCAGUGAAUUUGGAGAUUUUUGGUGACCUCCUCCCUGCCGGGGUUUAGCAAUCGAGGUGGGUUUUCAUCGGAUUUCUACUCCUUUAGUCUCGUGGGUCGACAUGUAUAUUUCGGGUUUUUCGUACUUGUACUUUAGCUCUAAUUCAUAGAUGCUUCACGUUUUGCUAGCAAAGAUGAAUGUAGAGCAUGGUUUUAAUUAUGGAUAAAUUCUACAUGUUGGACUUGGAUAAGAUUUAGGAGAAAACUCAUGAUUAUGAUCGUCAUAUGUUUAACUACCUGAUUUAGCCCUAGGGGCCGUUGUAUUAUUUUAUACUAUUGCAGUAUCGUCAUAGUGAGUAUUCCAGAUAGUAUAGUUUUCUGUUACACUCGUGCUGGUAUGCUGAGUAUAUUUUUAGAAUAGCGUUUAGGCUGUUCCGAACUGUUGGGUGUCGUCGGGAUUAACGGUGGACCCGUAUCGCCUGUUUGGCGUCAGAUUGUGCCGAGGGCACGUUACCUAUGAUUGUUAGACCAGUUUGAGUAGGCUAUUUGACUUUGGCUUUUGAGAGCCUGAUUGAGUUCGAUAGAGACACGCUGCAUACUCGUUUGGGUAGCUCCCACGAGUGCCACUCCGAAGACGGGCGCUGUGCUUUCGCGUUGGUGUCGCUUAUGCCGGUUGGACUUGCUCUCCACGGACCAGUUAGUGUGGAGGUAGCUGGAUAGUCGCAACUGGGUAGGGACGGGUGUAUUCACAAUCUCAGGGACGGGUAUGUUUACAGUCCCGAUUGGAUUGGGUCAGAUUUGACAUUUCCUACAGUUGAUUAGUGUAGAGCAUGAUAGUGUAGUGAUUUGUAGCGGUUGAGUUUAUUUCCUACAUUUUCCUACUAUUCUUACUCCCUUCUGUAGACUUAGUGGGUGGACCGAUGUUGUUUUGGGCGGCACCUACUGAGGACUACUUGUUUUUACAGUAGUUCUCACGCCCUGUUUGUUACCCCUGUUUUGCAAAGUCACAGGUUUCGGCUGCUGCACCUUCCGAGGCGGAUCGAGGCAAGGGCGUCGCGAGUUAGAGCCCUACCCGACGAGCAGAGCUAGAGGAACCCCUACUGCAGGUAGAUGUUUUGUUUCGAGUUUAUGUACAUAGUGGACUUAACUCGCCAGUGCGAGUAACUCUGCAUUUUGGAUUUGGACUAUGUAUAUGAAACUCAGUUUGUUUAGCUUAUGUUUUCUCUAGCAGCUCUCUACUACUGUUCGUAAUAGUGUUUGACUUACAGGUACAGCUGUCGCUUCGUAUAUAGGAAAAAUUUCUUUGUAUAUGGCGGAUUUGUCGGCAUGCCCGGGAAACGAGACAUUCGGGGCGUGACAUAAAAGCUAUCAGCACCAAUGAUUUGAUAGUUUUAAAAUAAUAGGAGCUCAAUUCUAUAUAUUAUAGACUCCCUCAGGUAAAUUAAAUUGGUCAAUUAUUAAUUAUUGCGCCUAGUGUAUUUAGGCUCCACUUGUAACCGCAAGAAGUGUGCUUUUAAUAAUACUAGUGAAUUACCCGCGCGAUGCUGCGGAUUUAAAAUAUUUUAACUAUAAAUUUUAAUUAAAAUAUUUAUAUUAUUUUAAUUUUUAACUAUUAAUUAUAUAAAUUUAAAAAUAAUUUGAAUAAAAAUAAUGUAAAUGGUUUAUGUGCUACAAAAUUUUUUUGUAAGAAUUGUAAGUAACUAAAUAAUUUUAUAAAGGAAUAUAUAUGCAAAAAGUUAUUAAAAA
rnacentral:lncRNA from 1 species